UCUUGGCUAAGGUGUCUUGGCUAAGGUGUCUUGGCUAAGGUGUCUUGGCUAAGGUGUCUUGGCUAAGGUGUCUUGGCUAAGGUGUCUUGGCUAAGGUGUCUUGGCUAAGGUGUCUUGGCUAAUGUGUCUCGGCUAAGGUGUCUUGGCUAAUGUGUCUUGGCUAAUGUGUCUUGGCUAAGGUGUCUUGGCUAAGGUGUCUUGGCUAAUGUGUCUUGGCUAAAGUGUCUUGGCUAAGGUGUCUUGGCUAAGCUGUCUUGGCUAAGGUGUCUUGGCUAAUGUGUCUUGGCUAAAGUGUCUUGGCUAAGGUGUCUUGGCUAAUGUGUCUUGGCUAAGGUGUCUUGGCUAAGGUGUCUUGGCUAAUGUGUCUUGGCUAAGGUGUCUUGGCUAAUGUGUCUUAGCUAAGGUGUCUUGGCUAAUGUGUCUCGGCUAAAGUGUCUUGGCUAAUGUGUCUUGGCUAAGGUGUCUUGGCUUAUGUGUCUCGGCUAAGGUGUCUUGGCUAAUGUGUCUUGGCUAAUGUGUCUUGGCUAAGGUGUCUUGGCUAAGGUGUCUUGGCUAAUGUGUCUUGGCUAAUGUGUCUUGGCUAAGGUGUCUUGGCUAAUGUGUCUUGGCUAAUGUGUCUCGGCUAAAGUGUCUUGGCUAAUGUGUCUUGGCUAAGGUGUCUUGGCUAAGGUGUCUUGGCUAAGGUGUCUUGGCUAAUGUGUCUUGGCUAAGGUGUCUUGGCUUAGGUGUCUUGGCUAAGGUAUCUUGGCUAAUGUGUCUUGGCUAAGGUGUCUUGGCUAAUGUGUCUUGGCUAAGGUGUCUUGGCUAAUGUGUCUUGGCUAAGGUGUCUUGGCUAAGGUGUCUUGGCUUAUGUGUCUCGGCUA